rnacentral:rRNA from 1 species
CACGUAGGCACCAAGCGUUGUCCGGAUUUAUUGGGCGUAAAGAGCUCGUAGGCGGCUUGUCGCGUCGAAUGUGAAAACUUGGGGCUCAACUCCAAGCUUGCAUUCGAUACGGGCAGGCUAGAGUUCGGUAGGGGAGACUGGAAUUCCUGGUGUAGCGGUGAAAUGCGCAGAUAUCAGGAGGAACACCGGUGGCGAAGGCGGGUCUCUGGGCCGAUACUGACGCUGAGGAGCGAAAGCGUGGGGAGCGAACAGG